rnacentral:lncRNA from 1 species
GCCGAGAGGGACACUGUAGGAUGGUGGAGACUGGGGGUGAUUUUUCAGGUAGAGAGAAAGGAGCCAGCAGAGAAGGCGGGAUUCAAGUUUCAAGUGAGUAGGAGACCAGCUGAUGAGGAAAAAAUAAUCCACAUCAUGGAGCCAGAACACAUAAAAUCUUUCAUGGCUCUUGAAAACAUCUUCAAAAAGGGUGCACCAAUUUCUACCCUCACCCAUAAUAGGGUGGUUCGCUGACCCUCGUCAACAUGUGUCACUUUAAAAAGAAACACCACUUGGGAAAGCUCAAUCCCUUCUGGUAGCUGGCAUAUUGGGACUGUGGACAGCAAUAACGAAAAUGGAGUGACAUAAGUCAAGGCUUCCCAAACGGAGCUGGGAGGCCAUUAAGAAGAUGGGGCUUAUACAAGCACACCACGUCUCUACACAGAUGAAAUGGGACUUUGAACUGGGCUUCACUGCUGUCAUCCUGACCUUCUUUGAAGAAAUAUGCCUACUCCCACAGAUAAGAACUUUCUGCCUUAAAGAUGGCCGUAGCAAGCAACCACAUAGAGCCGAGAAGUGACAGUUGUGACCAGCGCCCAUCACAAAUUUUGCAGAGCAACCUGUGUAAUUUAUCUUUUUGCCUUCAUAAACCCUUUCCCUUUGUCUUCCUUGGAGCACAUUUUGGGUUUCUGCCUGAAUCGGUGUCUCUCGAAUUGCAAUUCUAAUCACCCAAAUAAAUAUCUGCUGUCUAAAUGGUAGUGCUUUUUCUGCUGUGGAGGGAACCUUCCUUCUCUCUUCAUGUUUUAAAGAAUUAGAGUUCAGUAAUGUGAAUUUCCCCAAACUCCUUUACCCUCAGGUCCUUUUUGUGAAGGAGUGCGUGGAUGGAAAGAGACGUCUAGGAUGCAAGGUGCCUAAGGUCCUGAUAUUGUCACCAUAUCCCUGGAGAUCGCUCAACCCCGGAGCCCGUAAGACAGGUGAAGGGAAGUAAUCCAGCGCUGGCCCGUUCGUGGUAGUGGCUUUGGUUAAGAAGAAAUAAGUGGGAAGCAGGUGUCGCUGGAUCGGGGCCUUGGACAGGCAGUGCAUUGCCCAGAAGUGCCACACACAUACACACACACACUCGCAGCCCGCCCGCGGACGGCUCGCUUUGGCUGUUGAACCCGGCAGGGAGCAGGAGGAGCGCGCGCCGCCGGGCCGGGGUGGGCGGCAGCGCCCCCGGCGCACGCGGCGGGACCACGUGGAGGCGGGCGCAUCCCGGCGGCCCGCCCCCCCCCCCCGCCCCUGCGCUCCGGCCAAGUUUGGCGCGCGGUGUCCCUGGGCUCUCGGGUUACCUGAGCCGGCAACCACGUCAGCGCCACAUCAUCUGGGCUUUUUAUACUGCAAGGAAACAGGAAAAGAAGGAAGAAACAGCUCUCCGGAGGGAGCCAAUCGCAGGCGGCCGGCGCGGCCGGAGAGCGGGCGGCGAGCGAGCGCGG